UACGGGGGGAGCAAGCGUUGUUCGGAUUUACUGGGCGUAAAGGGCGCGUAGGCGGCCUCCGCAAGUCAGUUGUGAAAUCUCCGAGCUUAACUCGGAAAGGUCAACUGAUACUGCGGGGCUAGAGUGCGGAAGGGGCAACUGGAAUUCUUGGUGUAGCGGUGAAAUGCGCAGAUAUCAGGAGGAACACCGGUGGCGAAGGCGGUUCUCUGGGCAUUACCUGACGCUGAGGAGCGAAAGUGUGGGGAGCGAACAGG
rnacentral:rRNA from 1 species